CCCUGGCUCAGGACGAACGCUGGCGGCGUGCCUAAUACAUGCAAGUCGAGCGAAUCUUUGGGAGCUUGCUCCUAAAGAUUAGCGGCGGACGGGUGAGUAACACGUGGGCAACCUGCCUAUAAGACUGGGAUAACUUCGGGAAACCGGAGCUAAUACCGGAUAAUCCUUUUCCUCACAUGAGGGGAAGCUGAAAGACGGUUUCGGCUGUCACUUAUAGAUGGGCCCGCGGCGCAUUAGCUAGUUGGUGAGGUAAUGGCUCACCAAGGCGACGAUGCGUAGCCGACCUGAGAGGGUGAUCGGCCACACUGGGACUGAGACACGGCCCAGACUCCUACGGGAGGCAGCAGUAGGGAAUCUUCCGCAAUGGACGAAAGUCUGACGGAGCAACGCCGCGUGAACGAUGAAGGCUUUCGGGUCGUAAAGUUCUGUUGUUAGGGAAGAACAAGUAUCGGAGUAACUGCCGGUACCUUGACGGUACCUAACCAGAAAGCCACGGCUAAC
rnacentral:rRNA from 1 species